CACCUGGACAUGCACACAUAUAUAACAGACAACGUGAACUCAUCAUGUCAGUCUGUGAUCCCUUUUCACCUGUGCAGGAGUGGAGCUAUCACACACAGGGUGCUUUCUAUGGCUGUCGCUCUGCUGGGUCUCCCUCCCCCCGCCCAGCCCGGACCCCAUUGGACCCUCCCCUUGUGCUUGUGGGCCCCUGCAGGCUGUCUGGUUUGGCGCCUUGGCGGUACCAUUUGGGGGUCUGCCCUCCUUGUGAAAAUGUCCAUCCAGGGGUCCUGCUGUGGAUUUAAGUCAACUUUGGUCUAGACACAAUUAAGUUUACACGCUUAGCACCUCAACUUCCUCCAAAGAAGACCCCAAUAUGGGUUGAAACACGUCAGGAUUUACGUGACUUGCAUGUUAACCAUUCAUGUUAAUUGAUGUCAUGUAUUUUGGUGCAUACUCCUUG